rnacentral:rRNA from 1 species
UGGGGAAUAUUGCACAAUGGAGGGAACUCUGAUGCAGCGACGCCGCGUGAGUGAUGAAGGAAUUCGUUUCGUAAAACUCUUUUCUAUGGGAAGAAAAGGACUGUACCAUAGGAGAAAGCUCCGGCUAAAUACGUGCCAGCAGCCGCGGUAAUACGUAUGGAGCGAGCGUUGUCCGGAAUUAUUGGGCGUAAAGGGUGCGCAGGCGGCUUUACAAGUUGGAUGUGAAAUAUUGUGGCUCAACCACAAACGUGCAUCCAAAACUGCAAAGCUUGAGUGAAGGAGAGGUAAGUGGAAUUACUGGUGUAGCGGUGGAAUGCGUAGAUAUCAGGAGGAAUACCGGUGGCGAAGGCGACUUACUGGACUUAAACUGACGCUCAGGCACGAAAGCGUGGGGAGCAAACAGG